rnacentral:rRNA from 1 species
AGGUGAACCUGCGGAAGGAUCAUUACAGUAAAUUUGGGGGGGUUGGAUGCUGGCCCGUAAGGGCAUGUGCGCACCCUUUCUAAUAAUCCCUUAACACACACACCUAGUGCACCUGUGGCGAGUGCCUCCCGUUUGGAGCCGUCCGACCGUAAAGCCUCUCCUUAUAAUGAGGUUGGGUCGGGCUGAGGCACUCCCUCCUUUACACAACACCGAUAGAAACCGCAUGUCUGUUUGAGCAUUUAUAUGUCAUACAACUUUCAACAACGGAUCUCUUGGCUUUCGCAUCGAUGAAGAACGCCGCGAAAGUGCGAAACGUAAUGUGAAUUGCAGAAUUCAGUGAAUCAUCGAAUCUUUGAACGCAUCUUGCGCUCCUUGGUAUUCCGAGGAGCAUGCCUGUUUGAGUGUCGUGAACUCCCCUCGACUUCUCUUUUGAAGUUGGAUUUGGAUGUUGCGGGUCUGUGGCCCGCUCGUCUUCAAAUGCAUCAGCUUGGCCCCCUUGGAGUCGGUUCGAUGACGGUGUGAUAACAAAUGCUUGUGGCGCCGUUUGGAUCGACUUUGGGGGUUGCUUAUAGCCCUGGGUCUCUGACCCCAAUACAUGUCGUCUGACCUCAAAUCAGGUAGGAUUACCCGCCGAACUUAAGCAUAUCAAUAAGCGGAGGAAAAGAAACUAACGAGGGAUUCCCCUAGUAACGGCGAGUGAAGCGGGAAGAGCUCAAAUUUGUAAUCU